rnacentral:rRNA from 1 species
UACGAAGGGGGCUAGCGUUGUUCGGAAUCACUGGGCGUAAAGCGCACGUAGGCGGAUUUGCCAGUCAGGGGUGAAAUCCCGGGGCUCAACCUCGGAACUGCCCUUGAUACAGCAAGUCUAGAGUCCGGAAGAGGUGAGUGGAAUUCCUAGUGUAGAGGUGAAAUUCGUAGAUAUUAGGAAGAACACCAGUGGCGAAGGCGGCUCACUGGUCCGGCACUGACGCUGAGGUGCGAAAGCGUGGGGAGCAAACAGG